GGAGUUUGGGCCGUGUCUCAGUCCCAAUGUGGCCGGUCACCCUCUCAGGUCGGCUACUGAUCGUCGGUUUGGUGGGCCGUUACCCCGCCAACUGCCUAAUCAGACGCGGGACCAUCCUAUUCCACCGGAGUUUUUCACACUGUACCAUGCGGCACCGUGCGCUUAUGCGGUAUUAACAGUCGUUUCCAACUGGUAUCCCCCGGAAUAGGGCAGGUUUCCCACGCGUUACUCACCCGUCCGCCACUCGGUUAAAACUGCUUCCAUCCGAAACUUACCGCUGUAAUAAC
rnacentral:rRNA from 1 species